rnacentral:lncRNA from 1 species
UCUUAUAUCCUUGCAUCUUGAUGCACUCUUUGGUGAUGAAGAAUUAUUUUUUCUCAUGUUUGUCUUGACGAAGGUUUUGCCAUUUCGAUUGGUAUCCCUCCUCUUGACAAGGUUAUUGUUUUCUAUUUUCACCAUGGGUUGUCACAAGCGUUGGUUCUUAAUUUUUGUUAGUAAGCAUGUGAACCCAUUUGCUAGUAGUGUGUGUGUGGGAAGGAUAUGUCGUGCACUUUGUUUCUCAUUUCAUCAAGACUAUGUUGAUGAGUAAUUCUCAUCCUUAUCUUAGUCUUCUCAAGUGUCUUGCCAUGACUCACACACAUUAUUUUGGUUGAGCCUAUUCUUAAGUUGCCUCUUUUACAUAUUGCUCAACCAUAUGUUUUGUGCAAGUGAUAUGCUUAUUA